rnacentral:rRNA from 1 species
CCUGCGGGAAGGAUCAUUA